rnacentral:rRNA from 1 species
UACCUGCAGUCGACGGUGACACGGAGCUUGCUCUGUGGGAUCAGUGGCGAACGGGUGAGUAACACGUGAGCAACCUGCCCCUGACUCUGGGAUAAGCGCUGGAAACGGCGUCUAAUACUGGAUAUGUGACGUGACCGCAUGGUCUGCGUCUGGAAAGAAUUUCGGUUGGGGAUGGGCUCGCGGCCUAUCAGCUUGUUGGUGAGGUAAUGGCUCACCAAGGCGUCGACGGGUAGCCGGCCUGAGAGGGUGACCGGCCACACUGGGACUGAGACACGGCCCAGACUCCUACGGGAGGCAGCAGUGGGGAAUAUUGCACAAUGGGCGCAAGCCUGAUGCAGCAACGCCGCGUGAGGGACGACGGCCUUCGGGUUGUAAACCUCUUUUAGCAGGGAAGAAGCGAAAGUGACGGUACCUGCAGAAAAAGCGCCGGCUAACUACGUGCCAGCAGCCGCGGUAAUACGUAGGGCGCAAGCGUUAUCCGGAAUUAUUGGGCGUAAAGAGCUCGUAGGCGGUUUGUCGCGUCUGCUGUGAAAUCCGGAGGCUCAACCUCCGGCCUGCAGUGGGUACGGGCAGACUAGAGUGCGGUAGGGGAGAUUGGAAUUCCUGGU